rnacentral:ncRNA from 1 species
UCCAAUUCAAUGACGGGGAAGAAGGUAGAUCAUAAUUGUGCAGCGAGCCGGGUCAGGUGCAAGCCGGCCAAGGAGACUACCGGGCCGCCCCCGAGUUGCCAGCCGAAAAAAGUAAGCUUGGCCGGUUCUUCACCGUUAAAGAAGCCCAAGCGGGUUGCGCUAAUUCACCGGUGCAGCCAAUUAGGGUGGUACCACGGAUGCGAAACCUCCGUCCCUUAC